rnacentral:rRNA from 1 species
CAAUAGCGUAUAUUAAAGUUGUUGCAGUUAAAAAGCUCGUAGUUGGAUUUCUGGCCGAGUGUCCCUAGGCCAGCAUGACGUUUGGUCCUAGGCGCUCUGCCAUCCUUCUGUCAACCUUCGCCUUCUUCAUUGGGGGCGCUGGGGCUCAGAUAUUUUACCUUGAGAAAAUUAGAGUGUUUCAGGCAGGCUUUCGCCGGAAUACAUUAGCAUGGAAUAAUGGAAUAGGACUACGGUCUCUUUGUUGGUUUGAGGGACUGCAGUAAUGAUUAAUAGGGACAGUUGGGGGUAUUCAUAUUCAAUUGUCAGAGGUGAAAUUCUUGGAUUCGGUCAAGACUAACUUAUGCGAAAGCAUUCACCAAGGAUGUCUUCUUUAAUCAAGAACGAAAGUUGGGGGAUCGAAGAUGAUUAGAUACCAU